rnacentral:rRNA from 1 species
UUUAUUUUGAGAGUUUGAUCCUGGCUCAGGAUGAACGCUGGCGGCGUGCCUAACACAUGCAAGUCGAGCGAUCUCUUCGGAG